CUAACCACACCACCACUACCUUGUUCAUAGGUAACUAACCCCACCACCACUACCUUAUUCAUCGGUAACUAACCACACCACCACUACCUUGUUCAUAGGUAACUAACCCCACCACCACUACCUUAUUCAUAGGUAACUAACCACACCACCACUACCUUGUUCAUCGCUAACUAACCACACCGCCACCGCCUUAUUCAUAGGUAACUAACCACACCACCUUGUUCAUAAGUAACUAACCACACCACCACCUUCUUCAUAGGUAACUAACCACACCACCACUACCUUAUUCAUAGGUAACUAACCACACCACCUUCUUCAUAGGUAACUAACCACACCACCACUACCUUAUUCAUAGGUAACUAACCACACCACCUUCUUCAUAGGUAACUAACCACACCACCACUACCUUGUUCAUAGGUAACUAACCACACCACCACUACCUUGUUCAUAGGUUACUAACCCCACCACCACUACCUUGUUCAUCGGUAACUAACCACACCACCACGUUCAUAGGUAACUAACCACACCACCACAACCUUAUUCAAGGUAAUUAACCACACCACCACCACCUUGUUCAUAGGUUACUAACCACACCACCACUACCUUGUUCAUAGGUAACUAACCACACCACCACUACCUUGUUCAUAGCUAACUAACCACACCGCCACCGCCUUGUUCGUAGGUAACUAUCCACACCGCCACCGCCUUGUUCGUAGGUAACUAUCCACACCACCACUACCUUAUUCAUAGGUAACUAUCCACACCACCACUACCUUAUUCAUAGGUAACUAACCACACCACCACUACCUUGUUCAUAGGUAACUAACCACACCACCACUACCUUGUUCGUAGGUAACUAACCACACCACCACUACCUUAUUCAUAG
rnacentral:lncRNA from 1 species